GUCUCCAAAAUGAAAUUUUGGCAUAUUAACUGCAUUGGCUGGCUUUCUGGACCUAAAGACAUUAUACAAUUAAAAGAUAAGUGUUUGCAAACAACGAAAAUCUUGUUAAAAGUGAGCUGAGAAACGUUAAAACAAGUAAAAUGAAAAGUGCAUGGUUUAAAAAAAUCAAUAAAAUUUUACUUGCAUGGUACAGCAUGAAAAAGCAUGUUAUGUUAUGGCCUGUCUCUUCAACCGCAGAAAAUUAUAUAAAGACCUUGUUCCCUGAAUAUCACAAUUAAUCAUUCUCACUUGUAAAUAUAUAAUUAAAUGUUUACAGUGCGAUUACUGCAACGUUUCCCAUUUUUAUACGAUGCGCUGACAAACCGAUCGCUUAUACAUGAUGACCUUCAUCCACAAAGGGGGCUGUGGUUGCUGUCUUUCAAUUAGCUAUCAAAUUAAUUAAUUUUCUGAAGCGUUAUCAAUGACAUUUUGCUUUUACUACACACUUGACAUGUUGUUCCAUCAUUUCAUCAUUAGUGUUCUAAAAAUUGUAAAACAGACGUCGUUUGUCAUAAUAGAGCAUUGCGAAUCCGUAAGCCUUUGGAUCAGUCUGCCCUUCCAGAAAGUACCGUAUAUUCUGUACCGGCCCACUUGCCAACAAGCUGUGUGAACUUGUAAUACAAUUUUUUCUGGAUGUGCUUUUACCACGAUAGCAGGGACAAGACGUUUUUGUUUCGAACUAGGAUCCCGCAGGAAGAACAGUUAGCAUUUACAAGACAAAAUCUGCG